rnacentral:rRNA from 1 species
CCUACGGGUGGCAGCAGUGGGGAAUAUUGCACAAUGGGGGAAACCCUGAUGCAGCGACGCCGCGUGAGUGAAGAAGGACUUCGGUAUGUAAAGCUCUAUCAGCAGGGAAGAAAAUGACGGUACCUGAGUAAGAAUCCCCGGCUAACUACGUGCCAGCGGCCGCGGUAAUACGUAGGGGGCAAGCGUUAUCCGGAUUUACUGGGUGUAAAGGGAGCGUAGACGGCAGUGCAAGUCUGGAGUGAAAGGCGGGGGCUCAACCCCCGGACUGCUCUUGAAACUGUACGGCUGGAGUGCAGGAGAGGUAAGUGGAAUUCCUAGUGUAGCGGUGAAAUGCGUAGAUAUUAGGAGGAACACCAGUGGCGAAGGCGGCUUACUGGACUGUAACUGACGUUGAGGCUCGAAAGCGUGGGGAGCAAACAGGAUUAGAUACCCCUGUAGUC